AAUUCAGAGAUGGAUUUGUGCCUUCGGGAACCGUGAGACAGGUGCUGCAUGGCUGUCGUCAGCUCGUGUUGUGAAAUGUUGGGUUAAGUCCCGCAACGAGCGCAACCCUUAUCCUUUGUUGCCAGCGAUUCGGUCGGGAACUCAAAGGAGACUGCCAGUGAUAAACUGGAGGAAGGUGGGGAUGACGUCAAGUCAUCAUGGCCCUUACGACCAGGGCUACACACGUGCUACAAUGGCGCAUACAAAGAGAAGCGACCUCGCGAGAGCAAGCGGACCUCAUAAAGUGCGUCGUAGUCCGGAUUGGAGUCUGCAACUCGACUCCAUGAAGUCGGAAUCGCUAGUAAUCGUGGAUCAGAAUGCCACGGUGAAUACGUUCCCGGGCCUUGUACACACCGCCCGUCACACCAUGGGAGUGGGUUGCAAAAGAAGUAGGUAGCUUAACCUUCGGGAGGGCGCUUACCACUUUGUGAUUCAUGACUGGGGUGAAGUCGUAACAAGGUAACCGUAGGGGAACCUGCGGUUGGAUCACCUCCUUACGUGAAAGAAGC
rnacentral:rRNA from 3 species